rnacentral:lncRNA from 1 species
GACAUCCCAUCUCUUGAACCAACGGUUAUCUCCAACCACGUGCCCCAUAUUAUAUCUACCAUCACCCCUCGUAGAGUGACUAGCCAACAAAACAAAAAUACCUUAACCUAUCCAAAGAGAAGCACUAGACUUCGAGCAAAAAAGGCUAAGGCUCUUGGAUUGGAAGAUCUUGAGCUGUAUAUGGAGGAUAUUCUCUUCCCUAUUUCACUCACUACUAAGGACAUGCA